AGUCGAGGGGCAUCAGUUUGGUUUGCUUGCAACCAAAGCUGGCGACCGGCGCACGGGUGAGUAACACGUAUCCAACCUGCCUCAUACUCGGGGAUAGCCUUUCGAAAGAAAGAUUAAUAUCCGAUAGCAUAUAUUUCCCGCAUGGGUUUUAUAUUAAAGAAAUUCGGUAUGAGAUGGGGAUGCGUUCCAUUAGUUUGUUGGCGGGGUAACGGCCCACCAAGACUACGAUGGAUAGGGGUUCUGAGAGGAAGGUCCCCCACAUUGGAACUGAGACACGGUCCAAACUCCUACGGGAGGCAGCAGUGAGGAAUAUUGGUCAAUGGACGCGAGUCUGAACCAGCCAAGUAGCGUGAAGGAUGACUGCCCUAUGGGUUGUAAACUUCUUUUAUAUGGGAAUAAAGUGGUCCACGUGUGGAUUUUUGUAUGUACCAUAUGAAUAAGGAUCGGCUAACUCCGUGCCAGCAGCCGCGGUAAUACGGAGGAUCCGAGCGUUAUCCGGAUUUAUUGGGUUUAAAGGGAGCGUAGGCGGAUUGUUAAGUCAGUUGUGAAAGUUUGCGGCUCAACCGUAAAAUUGCAGUUGAUACUGGCAGUCUUGAGUGCAGUAGAGGUGGGCGGAAUUCGUGGUGUAGCGGUGAAAUGCUUAGAUAUCACGAAGAACUCCGAUUGCGAAGGCAGCUCACUGGAGUGUAACUGACGCUGAUGCUCGAAAGUGUGGGUAUCAAACAGGAUUAGAUACCCUGGUAGUCCACACAGUAAACGAUGAAUACUCGCUGUUUGCGAUAUACA
rnacentral:rRNA from 1 species